rnacentral:rRNA from 1 species
GACGAACGCUGGCGGCGUGCCUAACACAUGCAAGUCGAACGCUGAAGCUCAGCUUUUGUUGGGUGGAUGAGUGGCGAACGGGUGAGUAACACGUGAGUAACCUGCCUCCUUCUUUGGGAUAACGCCCGGAAACGGGUGCUAAUACUGGAUAUUCACUGGUCUUCGCAUGGGGGUUGGUGGAAAGGGUUUUUCUGGUGGGGGAUGGGCUCGCGGCCUAUCAGCUUGUUGGUGGGGUGAUGGCCUACCAAGGCUUUGACGGGUAGCCGGCCUGAGAGGGUGACCGGUCACAUUGGGACUGAGAUACGGCCCAGACUCCUACGGGAGGCAGCAGUGGGGAAUAUUGCACAAUGGGCGCAAGCCUGAUGCAGCGACGCCGCGUGAGGGAUGGAGGCCUUCGGGUUGUGAACCUCCUUCGCUCAUGGUCAAGCCGCAACAAUGGUUGUGGUGAGGGUAGUGGGUAAAGAAGCGCCGGCUAACUACGUG